GUAGGUGGCAAGCGUUGUCCGGAAUUAUUGGGCGUAAAGCGCGCGCAGGCGGUUCUUUAAGUCUGAUGUGAAAGCCCACGGCUCAACCGUGGAGGGUCAUUGGAAACUGGAGAACUUGAGUACAGAAGAGGAAAGCGGAAUUCCACGCGUAGCGGUGAAAUGCGUAGAGAUGUGGAGGAACACCAGUGGCGAAGGCGGCUUUCUGGUCUGUAACUGACGCUGAGGCGCGAAAGCGUGGGGGAGCAAACAGGAUUAGAUACCCUGGUAGUCCACGCCGUAAACGAUGAGUGCUAAGUGUUAGGGGGUUUCCGCCCCUUAGUGCUGCAGCUAACGCAUUAAGCACUCCCGCCUGGGAGUACGGCCGCAAGGCUG
rnacentral:rRNA from 1 species